AUGGGUGCGGGGACCACGGGGCCCGACGGCGGCACCGAGGCGCUGGCGCUGGACGCGGUGCUGGGCACGCUGCUGGCUGUGCUGCUGCUGCUGGCGGUCAAGGCAGCCGCGGAGCAGCUGCGGCGGCGGCGCGCCGGUGUGGCGGUGCUCGUGGUGGGCGCCGGGCCGGUGGGGCUGACGGCUGCGCUUGUCGCUGUCCGCACCGGCCGGGUGCUGAAGCUGACCGUGCAGGACGCGCGCGCGCGGGGCCCGCUGCUGGGACGCCCGCAGCAGAUUGCGCUGGACCCGCGCAGCGUCCGCUUCCUCAGGCCGCUGGGAGUGGACUUCGACAAUGUGGAGGGCUGCUGGCGCAACGGCCACUUUUUCACCAGGGUCGGCGUCUUCCAGGAGCACCUGCUCAGCCUCCUGGAAAGGAAGGGGCAGCGGCCUGGCUUCUGUCUUCUCCUGGGCACCAAGUUUACAGAUGACUUUAUGAGGAAGGUGGUGGUGCCAGACUGGCCCAAAAUCAUUGUGGUGGCUGAUGGCUCCCAUGGGGAGACCUGCUCUGUGCUGGGGCUCAGUCCAGAUUAUGUGGUGGAAUCCUGCAAUGCUUAUGGAGCUAAUGCUACCAUCACAAGACUGGAUCAGAGACAGGUUCCCACACCAGAAAUCCGAGCCCACAACCUCUACCUGGAUCUCUCUGCUUAUGGGAUCGAGGUCACCUCUGUAGCAAAGGAAGCCCCAAGCUUGCCUCAAGCGGUUGAACAGCCAGGUUUCCACCUGAAAAUCUAUGGAACCUUCCGUAACCGAUAUAUGGCUUUGGCAUGUCCAGCUUCUGAUUCCAAAGUUGUUCGAUUUCUCCGCCAUACUCUCAGCCCCUCAAUAAUGAAGACCAUCUUCCACCAAGCAUUCAACACCUACAAGAUGGACAUUGAGCCUCGCGUGAGGGACACCGCGAUGCCUCGAGUGCAGUGCAGCAGGAAGCUGUUUGAGAUCGUUCUGUCCCACAGGCGGGCCACCGCAGCCUACAUCCAGGGUGAGGGCAGGGUGGUCACCGUGGAGGGGGAGGCAGCUCGAGUGCUCAACUUUGACACAGGAUCUGGGGUGAAUCUUGGGCUCCAGGGCCUGGAGUCUUUGGAUGAAUUCAUUUGCAAGAUUGCAACAGCUGUGGAUCAGAGCGACAUCUUGGAAGCUUUGGCUGCCAAAAUAAGACACUCUAAGCAGGUGGCGGAAGACUUUAAACGGAAUGGACUCCUCACCACAGUUUUCGAGUGACUGGGGGCAACACGACUGCCUCCCAGGGGGUCAUUCUUCUAGCUGUGGGGCAGAAAGUAUCCAGGAAUGAAGUUAGGCUGAAAUAGAAUUUCGAGAAUGGUGGCAAGUUAGCAGUUACAUAGUAAAGCUACAUUGAAACAUGAGGCCUUUAAAUGUAAAUUAAAUGAAAUUUCCAAAUGUGAGGGUCUGAUUUGGAGAUGUCAGUGCAAUAGAAAUGAACUCACCAGGGAAGAGUGCCUCACUGUGGCCUAGAGAAAAUGAGCCCUGUUACUAAGUCCUGAAGACUCUCAUAAGAAAACAAAAUCAUUCUCUCCUAAUGCUUCAGGGAAUCAAGUUCUGUCUCUUUAAAGCAAAUGUGGCAGGAGGUUAACAAUUACUGUAUCUAGGUCUGUGUGUUGCAGGGGUGGUAAUUUGGACGUUGAUCGGACUUGUCUUAACUUUUCUUGAUGUUUGAAAAAUUUCAUAAUAAAACGUGUUGGGAGAAAGGAAUAAAGUAGAUCACCAUAAAUAAAAGUAGAACAGAUACAGUAUCAUUGAAAAUAAAAAAAAAACAGUACUUUAAAUAAAAUGGAUUUAGCUUUAUGAACAAUUCACUUUUUUUACUUUGUUUUUCUUAUUUUCUUAUGGAGGAGUGAAAACUCCUGGGCACCCCAGUACUGAGGACCCCCUGUUCUGGAAAGAUAGCACACAGGGGAACGUUAGUAGAGAGGAUGAGUUCGGGGCUAGUCCUCUUGUCUGGAUUCUAAUUCCAGAGCCUGCUGGCUCUUACUCACUGAGGGACCACAGACAAGUUACUUAAAUUCUGUGUGCCCCAGUUUCUUCAUCUGUAAAAACAGGGCUGAUAAUGAAAUAAGGCAAGUUUAGUGACUUGGUCACUGUAAGUGACAUGAGCUGAGUUGGGUUCCAAAGAUAAUUACAGGAAACCCUACCACCGAAACUCACCCUUGCCUCUGUAUACCUGUACAUCUUGGUUCAAACUUUUCCUACAAUCCUCAAACCAUAGUUCUUUGUGUGUCUGUAAGUCUUAUCCUAAUUGACUGAUUUCUGGAUGCAAGGGAUAUUUCGAUUUUCUUGUUUUUUUCUCAGACACAUGGCAUAACUUUUUUUCACUUAUUGUGUGUUUGUGUGAAUAAAUGAAAUACAAACACACUUUCCUAUGUAAGGCCACAUUGACCAGGAGAGAGUUUUCCCUGGGAAUCCUGUUCAGUAUUCUUCCUUAUUGGUUACUUUCCAUGAGAAGUUUGUCAGAGGAGCCAGGAAGGCUUCCCGAGUCUCAUUGGCAUAUUGCCUUUGGCACCAGCACAGGAAGCUUAAUUUCCCAAAGAAUGGUGACUUCUAUUAAAGCAGGUUUGCAGAAUUGUUGGGCUGUUUGUGUGUGUGAGGGGGAGGGCAAUGACCAUCAUCACGGUAAUGAUAGGAACUAAACAAGUGUGGGCCUGGGGUGAGGGGUGGGGUGUGUGGGGUGCCUGGGUGGCUCUGUCAAGUAAGCAGCUGCCUUAGGCUCAGGUCAUGAUCCCAGCAUCCUGGGAUCAAGCUCCUUUGGCUCCCUGCUCCUCGGAGAGUCUGCUUCUCCCUCUCCCUUUGCCCCUCCCCCUGUGCUAAGGCCCUGUCUCUCGCUUUCUCUCUCCCUCAAAUAAAUAAAUAAUAAAAACCUUAAAAAAAAAAGAAAAGAAAGAAAGAAAUGUGGCCCCGGGGAUGUUCCCCUAAAGCUUGUGUCCACCACGUAAGUAAUGCCAAACUGCUUUUAGCAGCAACUCGUCAGUCUAUGUUCAUCAAUUGUCAGUGCAUAAAUGGUCACUCAAAGAGAAAAGACAGUUCAAAUGUAGAAAUCCUUGUCAGGGAUUGGUCUUUAGCCUUUCAGAUCGUGGGCACAUAGGGCCAUCUGGUGUGCAGUUGUAUAACCACACAUUGGAUUUUUUUAAGAUCUCCUCACUACCCAUCAAUGUGACUUAGUUGGCUUUACAAAAGCAAACCAUUCUUUAGGCUUAUUUAGGCGUACAUAUUGAGGACCUUGGCUCAUUCCCAAACUUAAGGCUCCUCAAACCUAUAAUAAUCUAUAUGCUAAAUAGAGCUCUCACCCUCUUAGAGAUCCUUGUAAGACCAACGUCAAAGUCAUGUGUGAGGUAGAGCUCAAGGGGCAAGAAGUGGAGGUGCACAGAGGAAGCCAGUAGAGAGAGCAGGACAAUGUAGCUCAUGAGCAGAGAGUGAGGAGCAAGAGACUAUGAAAUCCACAAGAGGAAUAAAAGGAGCCUGUCCUUGGGCUCGCUCAGGCCCUGAUAACAUUCUAAUUUAGCUCAUGUGCACCCUGGCAUAAACUUUUGCUUAAGUCUCUGUUGCUUGCAAUAAAAUAAGCAUGACUAAAACAACAUCAGUUUGAAUGAAGCCAAAAGACUAGAAAUCCUAAAAUCUGGCAUGCCUACCUUCAUAAAUCCCCAAAUGCCUGUAUGUCUUACUCUUUUAAUCUUCUGAUAGAAGCCACAGAUAAAAAGUAGAAAGAAAGGAAUGAAAUUAGGUCAUCAUAACCAUUUGGGACCAUUAUUGGUAUCUGGGCCACUCAGCCAGACUUCUGUCAAUCCAUUGGUCUCAACUCUGGAGCGACUAGGAAUUGAAGAAACCUGUGCCCUCAGACAGUGCUAGAGAAUUGGCAAUCUGAACUAGCAGGGUCUGAAUGCCACCUUGUGAAUCUCUGGCCAGGAAGGGUCUCUUCAACAUCUUAAAUACUUCCCACCAUUUAAUUUAUGAGUUAGUAGUUUUCUGGCUUACUGUCAGUGUAGAUCAGUGUUCUCAACUGGGGGUACAAUUGGCAACAGCUUGGAGACUUACUGAUUUUACAGCUUGGGGGAGGGGGGACACCACUGGUAUUUAGCAGGUAGAGGCCGGAGGUGCUGCUAAAUAUCAUACAAUGCACAGGACAAGACUCCCCCCCCCUCUCCAAGCAACAAAGAAUUAUCUGGCCCCCAAUGUCAGUAGUGCUGAGGUUGAGAAACCAUGAUGUCCAUGGCAGGAGAAGCCUUGAGGGAAUAGUUUAAGUGGUAGGAAGAGCAGAGGGUUGACCCUGAAGUUGUGAAUUUUACCAAGGGGAGCACUACCAAGUUUUGGGGAAGAUACCAUACCGUAUCACUACCUGUGGCCUGAUGCUGAGUCAUAGGCAACAGGUGCCCCGAGAGGCUCUGGUGAAGGCAAUCAGAGAUAAAUCUAAGUGGUCAGUCCUUGAGCAGAGCUACAGAUUAUGAUUGGAAAGGCAAAGACUAAUCAGUUUGAUUCUAUUUAUUCCCCUUUCCAUCAUUUGGGGUCAUUGUGACCUAAUCUCUUAUUUAUAUUCAAGGAAUAAAUUGGCUUGGGUAACAGAGACAAGGGGUUAAAUUGGAGGGAACAGAAGAGCAGCAUAUUAAUAAAUUAACUUAUUUAAAUGUAUAUGGGUUGGAGAGUGAUGUUUUGAUAGGUCUGAGAUACAAUAGUGGACCUGUGAAAACUAAAGUAUAUUUUCAUUAAGUUAGCUUUUGGUUGGGCACCUUCAAAGGAAAGCGAGUCUCUUCCCUAAAAAGCGUGCAGAGCGGGAAUCCCAAAGCAAUAUCAAUUUCAGAACUUGAAGGCAAAAAGCAACACAGCUCCCUGCCUCCCCAUGCCCCCCACCUGUUUAAAUAUGUAAUUUAAAAAAAUAAAAGAAAUUUCAAAGAUAUGUAAUUUUUGAGAUGGAGGCUUGCAUUGUUCUGAGACCUAGGCCAUGGCAAUCCUGGUCAGUAGACUUCCCUGUGAUAGUGAGUUGGGGAGUGAGUUUCAAUUGGGAAAUGUUCUGGAAAACAACUUAGGCAAGACCAAGUUAAAUAUAUGCUUCCAGUUGUUGACACAGGACAUUGAUAGAAUAUUUGUAGGUGCUCCAAGAGGAUUUGAGAGAGUCCACUUUGUAAAUUGGGAAUUGGUUUUUUACUAGGUUGACUUAUAGAGGGCCAAACCUAUGAAAUCACAUUGAUUCAUUAAUUUAUUUCAUUCAAUGAACUUGAAGGUGUUGGCAUUUUACCAAGUGCUAGCGAUAGAAAGAAGCAUAAGAUGUGAUGCUCUGUCAGUUUAGUCAGGAGUACGCAGAUAAAUAGGUAAUUGUAGUAUAGCAAUACGGCCUCAACUGCCAGUUACUCCCCUGCUCUUCUUUCUUCUAACUGUGCCCACCUCACGGAGGUGUCGGCUCCAGGAAAGAGAUCAUCUAUGAAUUCUUGGCCCGGAAUUAAGCGGUUUAUAAACGUUAGCCCUUUAUUUGUCAACAGAGUCAUGCUGUGGCUGGGAGCAUCUUCUCCAAGCGGGAAUUUGCAUUUUUAACGUUCCCACGCUUUACAUGUUAUGGUUACAUGCACGACAAAGUGUGUGAGUCAGCCUGGGUGAUGGGAAGCUCUGGAAGGUUUCUGGGCAGGAACAUCCAGUCUUCAUAAUGUCCUAAAAGACGGAGAGGACAGAGCCCAGAAAACCAGCAUUCGCAUCCCUGCUUUCUGCUCCGCUGUCCCUUCCUGCGGGGCCUGGCCUACAUUUCCCAGGAUGCUCAUUUUCUGGAGCUCCAGCAGGAUUGGGCAGACCGACGCGGAAGUAAUUACGGGUCGCUGAGCAACGGGCGGAGUCCUGGAACAGGACUGGAGGCUCACGCCCCUUCCCCGAGGCCGGGAGGUGGACGAAGCUCAGCUCCAUCUCCAGAGUAACGGGGCGUCCACCGGCUUUUACUUCCAGCUGAGAGGCAGUGCGAUCUCUCCGGUGCUUUCACCGGAGUUCUUCCCAGGCCCCGCCCCUUUUACGCCUGCAGCUGCGAAACGCGGGAGACUGAAUUCUAGCUACCGAGGCGUCUGAGCGGCUCGCGGCGGCGCAGUGCGCAGGCGCGAGCGUUUGGGUCUGGCCGCGCGCGGCGCUCGGUUGAAGCGGGAGUGAGUUCCUGGGCGCAGAGACCCGGCAGCGGGCGACCGAGAGAGUGGGUGAC
ensembl:lncRNA